UCCUGAUUCCUCUUUGAAGUACAUAGUAGAUAGCGGUAGAAGGAAUAGUAAAGUCUUAAAGUCUUUGAUCUUUCUUAUAAGUGCAUAGAAGAAAAUGCUGAGGUAUGCUGCCUUCUCUCUCUCUGCUUCGGCUACCUAAAAGGGAAGGGCCCCCCGUCUUGUGAUCACGUGACUUGCUUCACCUUGUCAAUCACUUACAAGAUUCACCCUCCUUACCCUGUCCCCUUGUCUUGUAUUUAAUAAAUAUCAGCGCGCCCAGCCUUUUGGGGCCACUACCAGUCUCCGCAUCUUGAUGGUAGUGGUCCCUAGGGCCCAGCUGUUUUCUCUUUAUCUCUUCAUCUUGUGUCUUUAUUUAUUACAAUCUCUCCUCUCCGCACACGGGGAGAACACCCGCUAAGCCCCAUAGGGCUAGACCCUACAUCUGGUACUCCAAUGUGCCUUUCUCCCUCGCUGUGUGAAGUUGCGCUUUGAGCCGGGGACUCAGCGGAGGAAUUUCGACGACAGAUUCCUGAGGAUUGCGGUCAUUAAGCUUGGUGUGCAGUGCCUGCUAUGAAGCACACACAAUGCUUAUCUGCUGCUCCAUUGGAAAGCCAAUAGCAAAGAAGGGAAAGGACCUUCUGAUUGGAGAGUGGAGGAAGAGGCAUCAUCUUUGAUCAUCAUCAGAUUUUACAACUCAUUGUUCCCUUCCAGUCCACAGGGUGAGAGAAUCAUGUAAAUGGUCAAACAAACACUUGGAUUAUAGAAGACACUUGAUAUUAAUAAUGACAAUAAAAAUGUUUACCUAACUUGGAUAGAUUUUGUGUAUAGAUAGGAUGUGUGUGCGCAUGCACGAAUGUGUGUGUGUGUGUCUGUGUGUGUGUGUGUGUAUACUCCCCCCUUACUGGGAAAGGACAUAUCAGAAGAUCAGGAAAUGCAUUACACAAUUUUUGUAUGCAAUAUUAGUCCAUUUCUUGGCGGAGACCCAAAUCUAUUGUGGCGAGAAAGUAAUAGAUGAACUAACUAGGGACUCAGACUUACUGGCUAGUGUCCAAGAAACAUUAAAAAAUUGAGUACUGAACAUAACAAGUAGGAUGGUGCAUGCAAAUUUAGAUGUCUUAUUGAAAACAGCACAUUUAUUAAUAUAUUAGACUUGUAGACGUGAGGGUGUUUUAAUACCUACUCAGAAAUUACUCAUGGGUCGGCUUCACAGAAAUAUCACUUGCAUAAGUGUGAGCUUCAGAGAAAUGGUGCCAGGCAUGAGUGAUCAUGGCUGGACUAAUCUAAAGAAAACUGGAAUGCCUGUAGUUAAUGAUACUAUAUUUUACACGUAAAAAUUUUUAAGAGGGUAGAUAUCAUGUUAACUGUUCUUAUCACAAUGAAAUAAAAAUUUAAAAAUAAAACUGAUUAAUGGGCAAAAUAUGUUAUUGUCAUUGUCAAACUGUCAUCUUUCUUCCUAAUUCCUUAGAAACUGCUUAACAUAACUUUAUUUGAUGCCUACUAUGUGUCAGGCUAUUUUCUAAGACACUAGAAAUAUCCAGAUAAAGUAAAAAGAUUAAAAGCAUGAUUAUAUAGGAACUACAUUUUUGUCAGAUUUAUUUAAGAUAGCAUUUAUGUACAGUAAAAUGUACCCUUUAAAAUGUACAGCUUGAGGAGUUUUGACAAAUAUAUACAGAUAUAUGACCAUCACUACAAUCAAUAUACAAAACUUUUCCAUCAUCCCAGAAAGUUCCCAGCUGAUCUCUGUAGUCAAUGCCUUCCUCAGACCCCCAGCCUCUGGCAACCACUGAUCUGAUGUUUGUCCCUGAAGUUUUGCCUUUUCCAAAAUGUCAUAUAAAUGAAAUCAUACAAAAUAUAACCUUUUGUGUCUGUUUUCUUUCACUUAGCACAAUGCUUUUGGAUCCAUCCUAGUUCACACCUUUUUAUCACUGAGUGGUAUUUCAUUUGUUUAUACAUUAUUCAGUUGAUAGACUUUUAAAUUAUUUUCAAUUUUGUCAACUAUGGAUAAAGCUGCUGCAAGUAUUUGUAUACAGGUCUUGUCCAUUGUGUGGGCUUAUAUUUUCAGUAGGCAAAUACCUGGGAGUGAGAUUGCCAGGUAAUAUGGUAAAUAUAUGUUGAACAUUGUAAGAAACUGCCAGAGAGCUUUUGAAAUGAUUCUACCAUUUUGCUUUCUCACCACAAUGAAUGAGAUUUUUAGUAGAUCUGCAUCCUUGUUGACAUCGCCAGUCAUUUUAAUUUAAGCAAUUCUAAUCAAUAUGUAAUGGUGUCUCAUCACAGUUUUUCCUUGCAUAUUGCUAAUGACUAAUAAUGUUGAGUACAUUUGUAUGUGCUUAUUUGUCAACGAGGUCUCUUCUUUGGUAAAGUGUGUGUUCUAUCUUUUGUCCAUUUUUAAAAAUUGGGUUUUUGUCUAUCUUACUGAACUCUUCUGUGAAUUUAAAUAUUGUUUCCUAAUGUGUUAAAUGAAGAUAAUGCCUAUCUCACUGUUUUGUGUGUGUGUGUGUGAAAAUAAAUGAAACAUAUGUACAAUUGACCCUUGAACAACUUUGUGCGUGCACUUACAUGCAGAUUUUCUUCCUUCCCUGCCACUCCUCAGACAGCAAGACCAACUACUCCUUUUCCUCCUCCUCCUCAGCCUUCUUAAUAUGAAGAUGAUGAGAAUGAAGAGCUUUAUGGUGAUCCACUUCCACUUUAUGAACACUAAAUAUAUUUUCUUUUAUGAUUUUCUUAAUAUUUUCUUUUCACUAGCUUACCUUAUUGUAAGAGUACAGUAUAUAAUAUAUAUAACAUAUAAAAUAUGUUAGUCAACUAUUUAUGCUAUCAGUAAGGCUUCAGGUCAACAGUAGGGUAUUAGCAGUUAAGUUUUAGGGAUUCAAAAAUUGCAUGUGGGUUUUCAACUGUAUGUGGGGCCAGUGCCCCUAAUUUCAUGUUGUUCAAGGGUCAACUGUAUACAAAAAUCUGUAGCAUAGUGUCUAAUUGUAGGUGUUACAUAAAUAACUACUACUCCACUUCUAUUAUUGUAAAAUAUAAUUCCAUUUGUAAGAUACAUACUAUCUAGUUAAAAUCAAUAUCCUUUCCUUUCUUCCAGGUAGUGUCCCAUCCCAAACCAUUCAGCAUAUUACCUUAUCCUCAACUAACCUUUAAUAAAGUACUAAAUAGUAACUAAGACAUUGCAUGGUAACAGAUAAUCCAAUAAUCCCUGCAGGGCGAUCUUCAUUAUUUAAAGACAAAUGUCAUCUAAAAUCUUGAGGAGUGGGGCUGUGUUGGUUGAAUGACCAUUUGGUGCAGUUGAUUUGUAGUGAGAUGACUUCAGCUGGCGAAUCUUUUUAAAAUUGAUACAUAAUAAUUGCACAUAUUUAUAGGGCACAUGUGAUAUUUUGAUACAUGCAUAUAAAGCAUAAUGAUCAAAUCAUGGCAUUUAGGUUAUUCAUCACCUCAAACAUUUAUUAUUUUUUGUGUUGGUAAUGUUUCAAAUCUUUUCUUCUGCUAUUUUGAAAUAUUCAAUAAAUUAUUAUGAACUGUAGGCACCCCACUGUUCUAUCAAACAUCAGAAGUUAUUCUUUCUAUUGGCCAUUAGGGCUUUCCUUUCUUUUUGUUGUUGUUAAACUGCUCUAUUUCAUUAGUGAUUAGAGAAUGCACAUUAAAACAAUUACUCCCUACCCUUUUACAAGUUUUAGACAGGAAUUAAAAUCUGAUAACAAAGGGUUCUUGAAAAUGUAAGGAAGUAGAAAUUUCUAUGCCUUAUUGAUGGAGGUGCUAAAUUGUUAAAAGAAUUUUGGAGAAAAUAUUGUCAAUGAUGGAAAACUUUGAAGAUGUCCAUUUCCUACCAUCCAUUAAUGUCAUUUCCAGAUACAUACUUUGGAGAAAUAUUAUAAAGAGACAUGUUCAAGGGUGUCCCUGCAGCGUUAUGGACAUGAAAAAGCAUUCACUUAUUUUUUUUACCACUAACUAAUAUGUUAAAAAACAAUUUCUAUCUCUAAUUAGACCUUUAGCCUUUCAUUUUUCUGCAAGUUACUUUCCAGAAAAAUCUACCUUGCCCUGUUAUGAACUGGCCUUCUUAUCUGUCACAUUUUGAGAGAACCAGGAUCACCUAGGAAGGUUUCUACUACCUAAAUAAAUUCAGUGUUGUGCACAAGAAAAUCUGCACUCCACAGGCAAAUUUGAAAAAGAGUCUGCAAGAAGUCUUUAAGGAGCAAAUUGGGAAAUUUAGAUAAUUUCUUGCUGAAGUGCUUAAUAUCUGGUAAUAUGAGUACUUGAAAUAUCUUUGAAAUGCCAGUUGGGAAAGGAAAGAAUGAGAUUUUCUGGAGUAUAACCUUGAGACACCAGGGCCCUCAAAUAAAGAGUUUGCACCCUCUGGUUCCCUUUCAAAAAGAGAAAUAAUCACACAGUACACGGUAAGUUCAUGUUAAGUACUGGUCAAAAAAGGGCAUCGAUACACCUUCAGAAACAUCUUGUAUAUCUUCCAAAUUUCCACAUGGAGUCAUAUAAAAAUUAUUGGCAUUUAGUAAUUUAAUAAUAAACCCCAGGUCUUGAAAGCACCUGAAUGAUUUAAAAUAUUUGGUUUUCCCCAAUGAGCUAAUUAAGCAAAAUUUUGAAUAACAUAAUUUGAAAUAAUAAAUACUGGAUUUGGAGGAGUCAACCAUGUUAUCAAGAAGAUUUUAUACAUGUCCAUUUAGCACAACUUCAAAAAUAUAGAUAAUAUGCAUCUCUAGCAAGGUUGUCAAACCAAUAUACCCAUACAUUGCUAGAACCAAAAUAUACUGUGAUAUAUUAUUAAAUAUUAUUGCCAAGAAGUAGAAAAUGUGCAUGCUAUUUUGCCCAAUAAUUCUACUUGCAUGGCAAAAAAAAG
rnacentral:lncRNA from 1 species